UUGCAUUGUUUCCAGAUAUGGUCUGUUGAAGAAUUAGAAGAGUUAUGAGAAAUUAAAGUUGUAUCAACCACUCAUGGCUAGAACGAAAGGAAGAAGAUUUUAUGUAAUGGCCGCAUAAGAAUCCUAGGAAAUGUAUUCGGAAAAAUGUACAACCGGACAGCAGCUGGAAAGUGUAUAAAGUACAUCUUCUUACUACAAGUGACUCCUAUCUAGAAGGCAUUAAAUUACGCGAAAAGAAAAUCAAAUUCAGAUAUGGAAACAUCAUGUUCCCAGUUAGGGAAAGGUAAACGUAGAAGAAAGCAUAAGAGCCAAGAUGUCAGUGACAAUUCCGAUAGCGACCCACAGAGAAUGACAUCGCCUCCUUCGAUAACAAUUUCUCACGAUAUACGGACAGGAGGAGGUAAUUUCAAUGACAAUAAUGGCACUUCAACCAAUGUGGAUGAAGUCGACAAAGAAGUCCAAGAAAAUAAUAUUGCUGCUAUAAUGACAACUAGAGAUGAGAAUUUUACAAUUCCGGGUUACAUUAUUAUUGAAGAUUUACAAACAGAUAACCACGUAAUAUUAAAAAUAUUACACAAUGUUUUGGCAACUAGAAAAAUGGACGAAACAUAAACUAUUUUUAUGUUUUGUAUAGGAAAUGUUCUUCUAUUUAUUAGGAGGGAAUACUGCCCAAGUUCUAAGUAAAAAUGGAUUGGGGAAACUAUUUACCAAUAAGCUGGCUCUUGGUUUGGGCGCAAGGGAAAUUAUCAAUUAAACUCAUUACAUACAAUGGAAAUUUUAAAAAGCCGAGAUGCAGAAGGAGAAUACCAAAAUUUAUGACUAAAUAUAUAGAUAUGUAGA
rnacentral:misc_RNA from 1 species